GAGCGCCGCGCGCCCGUGACGUCAGAGGCCCAUGGCGGCGGCGGCGCUGGAGCCCUGGCGGGCCGCGGCUCCGCGGAGAAGGCGCUCAGCGGCUCGGCGUCCGCGGACGAGGCCGGCGGCGGCGGCCGGAGACCCGGAGCCGGAUCCCGAGGUGGAUGACGGAGUCGUGCUUCGUCGCGUCCGGGAGGCCAGGGAAGACCUGCGCGUUUCUGACUUCUGGAGCUCAGCGCUGGAAACCAUCAGCACAUGCCUUAAGAAACAUCUGGAACAGCUGGAUGCCCCUGUGGGGGCUCUUUCGGAAGCCAUUGGAAGCCUGCACCUAGACUCCUCACCAGGUGACUCGGGGGCGGCUCCGGGCUCCAUCCCGGGAGAGACCCCCGUCCCGGGGACCGGCGGCUGGAAGUGUGUGUGCUACGGCGUUGGGAGCUUUGCCACCUGCGCCAUCGCUAGAAGCCAGCUCGCCUUCUUGCUUCUCUUCCUGGAAAAGUGCCAGAUUCCCAGAAGUCACUGCUGGGUGUAUGACCCUCUGUUUAGCCAACUGGAAAUUGCAGUCCUUACCACCCUGGGGGUGACUGUCCUCGGUGAGAACGAGGAAGGAAAGCGGAGUGUGCGUGGCGAGCCCACCGUCUUUUACAUGCUGCACUGCGGGACGGCCCUGUACAACAACCUUCUGUGGAGCAACUGGUCCGCUGACGCCCUUUCCAAGAUGGUCAUCAUCGGGAACAGCUUCAGAGGCCUGGAGGAAAGGUUGUUGACAAGGAUUCUGCAGAAAAACUAUGCCUAUGUUGCAAAGGUUUUAGAAGGACUGGAGGAGCAGGCGUUUCCCCAGACGGCACAGUACUUGGACGUGUUUAAUGACAUCUCUGUGCACUGGUUCCCAGUCCAGAAGCUAAAGCAGCUCCCCAUGGACACGUGGGCAUCUCGGGAAGAGCCAGAUUACCGGGACUGCGAGGACCUCGAGAUCAUCAGGAACCAGGCAGGUGCCUCAGCUACCGGCCCAACUGGCUGUGAUGUAGGAAGUGCUGGCGGAGGCAGCCGCGCCGGCGGGACCAGAGUGGGGGCGCUGCGGGGACACUGUCCUCCCAGGGCCAGUUCCGGAGAGAACAGGAAGCCCUCAGCCUGGCUCUCGAGGGGAGAGGAGAUGUGCUGUGGAAGGACUUGGUGUCCCUCACAUCCCUUAUCGCCCUUCCUCGGGGGCCUGGCUGGUGGGGAGAACCUACUGAAUAGAGAAGCGACUCUUUCAAAGAUGGUUCAAAAGGUUUAGUCAGACAUGUGAGCAGCCGCCCCGGCCACCGCCUACUUGGCCAUGUCGAUCAGGCUCUGCAGGGAGGUGGGCACCCAGGUCUUCUCGCCCUGGACGAACACCACGCCCCGGUCGAUGUAGAUGACGAUGCGGCCGAAGGUGUAGAGCUGCUUCCCUUCGUGUCGCUUCCCGAUGACAGGCAUGAAGACGAUGUUGUGCUCCUCGGCCUUGGUCUCAAUGAGGUCCUUAAAGUUCAUGGGCACGGAGCUGGCGGCCACGCCGAUGCCCCUCUGGGCCAUGUUCUCGGCCUCCCGCCGCUCCUGCAUGGCCUCGUACUGGAAGUCCUUCCUCCGCUCCGUGUGGGUGAGGUAGGCGAUGUUUUCCCGUGCCCCGGGCUGCAUGUAGGCACCUGGGAGACAGGGCAGGGGUGAGGAGAGGCUGCGAUGGGCCAUCUCCGUGAACCUACUGUUCCUCACUGAGCGGCAGCUGUGCCUCAGACACAAAACACUGAGAGACGGCCCAGCACCUGCACACCUGGCUGCGAUCACAUAGGAAUUGGGCUGGCGAUUUCUGGCAAAUUCCUAGUGGCCAGAUUCUGUUCCCAUCUUGCCUGGGAGUUUUCACUCCACACUGCCAAAGAGGCAGCCGGCAGAACCCUGAAAACAUAGUCACGUUUACCCAUACAGGCCUCUGGCCCUGGAAGAACUUUUGAGAAACAUGGAGCCCACGGCCAGGACAUCCCUCACAGAACCCCCACUCACCGACGUUGGAGGACACCGCCCUGUUCAUGAUGUCCAGCGCUUCGUUGAACUUGUCCUUGAUGGACGGGUGCGCCAGCACUUGGUCUGAGAACAUGGACUUCCAGCCCAAGUACCACUUGGUGAUCUCCUCGUAAUUGGGGCUGUUACUGAGCCAGGAGCACAGCACCUGCCAGAAACGAACAAGUAAGAAACUUGCAUCCAAAGUGGCAACAAAUGGGAGCCAAACAUCUAAAGGGGCCCUUUGCUGUUACUCCUGGUCCUACAGGCCGGUGCCGCUGAUGGGGCCGAAAGCCAGGCCCUCAGGAGUGUGGGCUGUGCCUUGCAGGUAAACUGAGCCUCCGCCUCCUGUGCGGACAACAGGGAUGCCAGUCCCUGCCCCAAAUAUGCAAAUAAAGUGCUCAGAGCGUCUGGCACCUGGUCAUAAA